AGAAACGCUGGCGGCGUGCCUAACACAUGCAAGUCGCACGUCCUCUGGCUUCGGCUAGAGGGAGUGGCGGACGGUGAGUAACACGUGGGUAAUCUGCCUCAAGUGAGGAAUACCGCCGGGAAACCGUGACAAUACCGCAUAGGCUCUUGAAAGAGAGCAAAGUUUCCUUCGUAAGAAGGAGGCGCUUGAGGAGGAGCCUGCGUCCGAUUAGCUAGCUGGUGGGUGAAUGGCCUACAGGACAAUGAUCGGUAGCUGGUCUGAGAGGAUAAUCAGCCACACUGGGAUUGAGAACGGCCCAGAACUCCUACGGGAGGCAGCAGUGAGGGAAUUUUCAGGGCAAUGGGCGCAAGCCUGACCGAGCAACGCCGCGUGCAGGAUGAAGGUCUUCGGAUCGUAACUGCUUUUAUCGGGGAAGAGUAAGGACGGUACCCGAUGGAAUAAGCUCCGGCUAACUACGUGCCAGCAGCCGCGGUAAUACGUAGGGAGCGAGCGUUCUCCGGAUUUACUGGGCGUAAAGCGCAUGCAGGCGGUUCAGCAAGUCUCUGCUGACAGUCCUCAGCUUAACUGAGGAAGGCUUAGGGAAACUGCGGGACUUGAGACAUCGAGAGGCAGAGGGAAUUCCGCGUGGAGCAGUGAAAUGCGUAGAGAUGCGGAAGAACACCAGAGGCGAAGGCGCUCUGCUGCCGAUGUUCUGACGCUCAGAUGCGAAAGCCAGGGGAGCGAACAGGAUUAGAUACCCUGGUAGUCCUGGCCGUAAACGAUGACCACUGGCCGUGGGAGGAUCGACCCCUUCCGUGGCGAAGUCAACACGAUAAGUGGUCCGCCUGGGGAGUACGACCGCAAGGUUAAAACUCAAAAGGAAUUGACGGGGACCCGCACAAGCGGCGGAGCGUGUGGUUUAACUUCGAUGCAACGCGCAAGAACCUUACCAGGAUUUGACAUGGCGUUUGAACGCAUCGAGAAAUCGUGUUCCCUUCGGGGGCAGCGUCAACAGGUGCUGCAAUGGCCGUCGUCAGCUCGUGCCGUGAGGUGUUGGGUUCAGUCCCUCAACGAGCGCACCUCCUAUUGCCGGUGCUUUUUUCCGGCGAAACCGCCAUCGGAAGAUGGAGGAAGGUGGGGAUGAUGUCAAGUCAGCACGGCCCUUACAUCCUGGGCGACACACACGCUACAAUGGUACCGACAACGAGUCGCCAACCCGCGAGGGGGAGCCAAUCUCAGCAAACGGUAUCUCAGUUCGGAUUGCAGGCUGCAACCCGCCUGCAUGAAGCUGGAGUUGCUAGUACCGUGAGUCAGCACAUCACGGUGAAUACGUUCCCGGGUCUUGUACACACCGCCCGUCACCACCACGGAAAAUCGGCUCAUACCUGAAGCCCUCGGGCUAACCGUUCGCGGAGGCAGAGGUCGAGGUGGGGCUGGUGAUUGGGUGA
rnacentral:rRNA from 1 species